rnacentral:tRNA from 1 species
ACUCCUAUCGUUUAAUGGUUUAAGACAAUAUUUUUUCGUAAUAUUAAUGUAAGUUCAAAUCUUACUAGGAGUA